UUUUCCAGGCAAAUCCGGAAAAUCAAGGCUGAGGCGUGAUGACGAGGCACUACGGUGCUGAAGCAACAAAUGCCCUGCUUCCAGGAAAAGCCUCUAAGCAUCAGGUAACAUCAAAUCGUACCCCAAACCGACACAGGUGGUCAGGUAGAGAAUACCAAGGCGCUUGAGAGAACUCGGGUGAAGGAACUAGGCAAAAUGGUGCCGUAACUUCGGGAGAAGGCACGCUGAUAUGUAGGUGAAGCGACUUGCUCGUGGAGCUGAAAUCAGUCGAAGAUACCAGCUGGCUGCAACUGUUUAUUAAAAACACAGCACUGUGCAAACACGAAAGUGGACGUAUACGGUGUGACGCCUGCCCGGUGCCGGAAGGUUAAUUGAUGGGGUUAGCGGUAACGCGAAGCUCUUGAUCGAAGCCCCGGUAAACGGCGGCCGUAACUAUAACGGUCCUAAGGUAGCGAAAUUCCUUGUCGGGUAAGUUCCGACCUGCACGAAUGGCGUAAUGAUGGCCAGGCUGUCUCCACCCGAGACUCAGUGAAAUUGAACUCGCUGUGAAGAUGCAGUGUACCCGCGGCAAGACGGAAAGACCCCGUGAACCUUUACUAUAGCUUGACACUGAACAUUGAGCCUUGAUGUGUAGGAUAGGUGGGAGGCUUUGAAGUGUGGACGCCAGUCUGCAUGGAGCCGGCCUUGAAAUACCACCCUUUAAUGUUUGAUGUUCUAACGUUGGCCCCUGAUCGGGGUUGCGGACAGUGUCUGGUGGGUAGUUUGACUGGGGCGGUCUCCUCCUAAAGAGUAACGGAGGAGCACGAAGGUUGGCUAAUCCUGGUCGGACAUCAGGAGGUUAGUGCAAUGGCAUAAGCCAGCUUGACUGCGAGCGUGACGGCGCGAGCAGGUGCGAAAGCAGGUCAUAGUGAUCCGGUGGUUCUGAAUGGAAGGGCCAUCGCUCAACGGAUAAAAGGUACUCCGGGGAUAACAGGCUGAUACCGCCCAAGAGUUCAUAUCGACGGCGGUGUUUGGCACCUCGAUGUCGGCUCAUCACAUCCUGGGGCUGAAGUAGGUCCCAAGGGUAUGGCUGUUCGCCAUUUAAAGUGGUACGCGAGCUGGGUUUAGAACGUCGUGAGACAGUUCGGUCCCUAUCUGCCGUGGGCGCUGGAGAACUGAGGGGGGCUGCUCCUAGUACGAGAGGACCGGAGUGGACGCAUCACUGGUGUUCGGGUUGUCAUGCCAAUGGCACUGCCCGGUAGCUAAAUGCGGAAGAGAUAAGUGCUGAAAGCAUCUAAGCACGAAACUUGCCCCGAGAUGAGUUCUCCCUGAGACUUAGAGUCUCCUGAAGGAACGUUGAAGACGACGACGUUGAUAGGCCGGGUGUGUAAGCGCAGCGAUGCGUUGAGCUAACCGGUACUAAUGAACCGUGAGGCUUAACCUUACAACGCCGAAG
rnacentral:rRNA from 1 species